AUGAGGAAGGACUACUGUUUGACAGACUCCAUGCUAGUGUUACUCAAUUAUGGCACAAUAGUUCUGCAGGGCCAAAUAGCAAACAUUACUUACCCGUAUCUGCCUGUCUCUACAUUUCAAAAGGGAGAAGGAAAAAAUAUAUAUAGCUGCAAGCAGCCAUGUCAAGGUUCAAGCCCUAUGGCACCACAGCAAAUAUCUGUCACACAGCUUUUAUAUUUGCUUUCCUUCUUGAAAAGCUGUUGUCAACUUCCCUCCAUGUGGUGUGUACAUACUGUAGGGAAGGAAAAGGUCCAAAAUAGUGUUUUCAAUCAGAACCUAAGUAACACCCACCAAAUAUUUCUGAUCGAUAUUAUACAGGGGGUACCGGUACCAUACAUUGACUCGUUAACGUUACCCCCUGUAUAUAGCCUGCACAUUGACUCGUUAACGUUACCCCCUGUAUAUAGCCUGCACAUUGACUCGUUAACGUUACCCCCUGUAUAUAGCCUGCACAUUGACUCGUUAACGUUACCCCCUGUAUAUAGCCUGCACAUUGACUCGUUAACGUUACCCCCUGUAUAUAGCCUGCACAUUGACUCGUUAACGUUACCCCCUGUAUAUAGCCUGCACAUUGACUCGUUAACGUUACCCCCUGUAUAUAGCCUGCACAUUGACUCGUUAACGUUACCCCCUGUAUAUAGCCUGCACAUUGACUCGUUAACGUUACCCGCUGUAUAUAGCCUGCACAUUGACUCGUUAACGUUACCCCCUGUAUAUAGCCUGCACAUUGACUCGUUAACGUUACCCCCUGUAUAUAGCCUGCACAUUGACUCGUUAACGUUACCCCCUGUAUAUAGCCUGCACAUUGACUCGUUAACUUUACCCCCUGUAUAUAGCCUGCACAUUGACUCGUUAACGUUACCCCCUGUAUAUAGCCUGCACAUUGACUCGUUAACGUUACCCCCUGUUUAUAGCCUCGUUAGUGUUCCUUUAUUGGUGCUCUUUUACUUUGGUUCAUUUAGUAAAUAUUUUUCUUAA
rnacentral:lncRNA from 1 species